rnacentral:rRNA from 1 species
GGGCCCGCACAAGCGGUGGAGCAUGUGGUUUAAUUCGAUGAUACGCGAGGAACCUUACCAGGGCUUAAAUGGGAAAUGACAGGGGCAGAGACGCCCCCUUCUUCGGACAUUUUUCAAGGUGCUGCAUGGUUGUCGUCAGCUCGUGCCGUGAGGUGUCAGGUUAAGUCCUAUAACGAGCGCAACCCCUACCGUUAGUUGCCAGCGAGUCAUGUCGGGGACUCUAACGGGACUGCCGGUGCAAACCGUGAGGAAGGUGGGGACGACGUCAAAUCAUCACGGCCCUUACGUCCUGGCCACACACGUGCUACAAUGGUAGGUACAGAGGGAAGCCACCUCGUGAGAGGGAGCG